rnacentral:rRNA from 1 species
CAAUCCUUCGGGUGCGUUAAUGGGCGUCGAGCGGCGGACGGGUGAGUAAUGCCUAGGAAAUUGCCUUGAUGUGGGGGAUAACCAUUGGAAACGAUGGCUAAUACCGCAUAAUGCCUACGGGCCAAAGAGGGGGACCUUCGGGCCUCUCGCGUCAAGAUAUGCCUAGGUGGGAUUAGCUAGUUGGUGAGGUAAUGGCUCACCAAGGCGACGAUCCCUAGCUGGUCUGAGAGGAUGAUCAGCCACACUGGAACUGAGACACGGUCCAGACUCCUACGGGAGGCAGCAGUGGGGAAUAUUGCACAAUGGGCGAAAGCCUGAUGCAGCCAUGCCGCGUGUAUGAAGAAGGCCUUCGGGUUGUAAAGUACUUUCAGUUGUGAGGAAGGGGGURDMGUUAAUAGCKBYAUCUCUUGACGUUAGCAACAGAAGAAGCACCGGCUAACUCCGUGCCAGCAGCCGCGGUAAUACGGAGGGUGCGAGCGUUAAUCGGAAUUACUGGGCGUAAAGCGCAUGCAGGUGGUUCAUUAAGUCAGAUGUGAAAGCCCGGGGCUCAACCUCGGAACUGCAUUUGAAACUGGUGAACUAGAGUACUGUAGAGGGGGGUAGAAUUUCAGGUGUAGCGGUGAAAUGCGUAGAGAUCUGAAGGAAUACCAGUGGCGAAGGCGGCCCCCUGGACAGAUACUGA